CUAAGGCCGAUGGCGACCGGCGCACGGGUGAGUAACACGUAUCCAACCUGCCGUCUACUCUUGGACAGCCUUCUGAAAGGAAGAUUAAUACAAGAUGGCAUCAUGAGUCCGCAUGUUCACAUGAUUAAAGGUAUUCCGGUAGACGAUGGGGAUGCGUUCCAUUAGAUAGUAGGCGGGGUAACGGCCCACCUAGUCUUCGAUGGAUAGGGGUUCUGAGAGGAAGGUCCCCCACAUUGGAACUGAGACACGGUCCAAACUCCUACGGGAGGCAGCAGUGAGGAAUAUUGGUCAAUGGGCGAGAGCCUGAACCAGCCAAGUAGCGUGAAGGAUGACUGCCCUAUGGGUUGUAAACUUCUUUUAUAAAGGAAUAAAGUCGGGUAUGGAUACCCGUUUGCAUGUACUUUAUGAAUAAGGAUCGGCUAACUCCGUGCCAGCAGCCGCGGUAAUACGGAGGAUCCGAGCGUUAUCCGGAUUUAUUGGGUUUAAAGGGAGCGUAGAUGGAUGUUUAAGUCAGUUGUGAAAGUUUGCGGCUCAACCGUAAAAUUGCAGUUGAUACUGGAUAUCUUGAGUGCAGUUGAGGCAGGCGGAAUUCGUGGUGUAGCGGUGAAAUGCUUAGAUAUCACGAAGAACUCCGAUUGCGAAGGCAGCCUGCUAAGCUGCAACUGACAUUG
rnacentral:rRNA from 1 species